UGUGAGAGGGAAGCAUGCCCCAGGGGUACCGGGGAGGAUGUGCAGGGCCCGAGUCUGUUGGGAUUCAAGGAAGUCUUGCAGAAGGCGUAGCAGCUGAGCCGAGGCUUGAGGGAUGUAGAGGAGGUGGUCAGGCCGACAAGACUAUGUUUUAGGGUCAUCACACAACUCUGUGUGCGUCUUGGGUGUGAGCUUCCAAGUAACUUUUCCUGAACCCCUCACCCCAUCCAGCCCAGGCCCUGCUGGAACAGCCUCCCGUUGGGAACUAGAACUGAUGACAUUAUAUACGACCACCAUCCGAGCUUCUUGAGACAACCAAUCCCACAGGAAGUCUUAGAAAGCUUUUUUUCCCUCUAAAUGAUCUUUUUUAGUGUCUGUCACCCAGAGUUGUAGAGAUUUUAUAUCAUCUAUGAAAUCCUAUUAAGAUUUUAUUUCCUUAUUUUCCUUUUAUGAUGACUGGGAUUUCCUUCCUGAGAGAAGGCUUCAGGAAGUGGCCGUGCCUUGGCAGGAGCCAGGCCCUGGGGAGGGUGUGUUGCUGAGGCAGCCGCAGCCUCCGUGGCAGAGUUGCUGACAGGCAUUCAGAGCUGGCAGCAUCCUUCGAGGUCCUGUGGCCCAUUUUCCCCCUGAAGGUAUCCUCUCUAGAGCUUUAAGCAUCCCAUGACCCAAGAGAGGCAGUGAUGGAACUUUGGAGUCAGAUCCAUUGAUGGGCAACCUGCUACUUUGAAAAGUAGAGUGUUGAGAUCUGGUUGGAUCCAGAUGCCAUCAUUCCACAGAUGGACCAUCAAGGCCUUGUAGAGUGCAUGUCUCCCCGCUAUAUUUCUCCACAAUCUGCAUAAAGGAAGUGUAAGUUCCUCUGCCC